rnacentral:lncRNA from 1 species
AUAAUAAUUAUAUUCAGGUAUUUGGACAUCAGGUUCUACCCCUUUCCAAGUUUCUAUCAAUAUAUUUAUGUCAUGUUUUAUCAAUUCCAAGAAAUCAGGGUCUCUGUGUUUCUGUCCCAAUCCAUGAACAUUCCAGCUAGAUAUAGAAAUAGAAUCUAUAGAUGAAAACAUUUGUUUUGUUUUCAUAUUUAUUUAUAAAACAUUUAAUUAUGCAAGAAAUUUCCCCAUUCAAGUAC